GGGUGAAAUCAUAUCAGCACUAAUGCACCGGAUCACAUCAGAACUCUGCAGUUAAGCGCGCUAAAGAAAGAGUAGUACUAGGAUGGAUGACCUCUUGGGAAGUCAUCGUCUUUCACCCU
rfam:Gossypium raimondii chromosome 6, whole genome shotgun sequence.